ACGCUCGACACCUACGGGAGGCAGCAGUUGGGAAUAUUGGACAAUGGAGGAAACUCUGAUCCAGUGACGCCGCGUGAAGGAAGAAGGUCUUCGGAUUGUAAACUUAUUUUGUCAGGGAAGAAAAAUGACUGUACCUGAAGAAAAGCACCGGCUAACUACGUGCCUGCAGCCGCGGUAAUCUGAGCGGGCUGGCAAGGC
rnacentral:rRNA from 1 species